rnacentral:misc_RNA from 1 species
AAGUCGUAACAAGGUUUCCGUAGGUGAACCUGCGGAAGGAUCAUUAACAAAAAAAUACAAAAAAAUAAAAAACACUUUAUUAACCCCACAUUUAGAUCUUAAACUUUUUGGAUGCCAUUUUGACCCUAUUUUUUAUUCAAUUUAAACGAAAUCUAAAACAAUAUAAAAUACACACAAUUAAACCUAAAAAAAAAACAAACACUAAACUCUUAGUGUCUAAACAAAAAUAAAUAAUAAGAAACAACUCUUAACAAUGGAUAUCUCGGCUCUCGU